AAAACAUGUCCUAUUAGAUAAUAAUAUUAGGUCUAUUCUGCCCAUUGAAAGUAAAUUAAAAGGCUGCAGUAUAUUGACUGUACAAAGGUAGCAAAAUCAAUAGUUUUUUAAUUGGAAACUGGAAUGAAAGAGUGGAUGAGAUGUAAAUUGUCUCGGGAUAAAGAAUUGAAUUUAAAUUAAAAGUAAAAAUGCUUUUAUAUAAUUAUUAGACGAGAAGACCCUAUAGAAUUUAAUAAAAUUUAUUUUUUAAAUAUUUUAUAUUAUUAUUAUUUAUUAAAUAUUUAUAUUUUAUUGGGAGGGUAAUUAAACUUAAUUAACUUUAAUUUUAUAAAACAUAGAUAAAUGAAUUAUUUUGAUUAUUAUUAUAAUUAUAAGAAUAAAUUACCUUAGGGAUAACAGCGUAAUAAUUUUGGAGAGCUCAUAUCGAUAAAAUUGUUUGCGACCUCGAUGUUGAAUUAUGAUAAAAAUUAGAUGGAGAUAUCUAAAAUUUUAGUCUGUUCGACUAUUAAAAUCAUACGUGAUCUGAGUUCAGACCGGA
rnacentral:rRNA from 1 species